rnacentral:rRNA from 1 species
GCAAGUCGAACGGCAGCACGGGAGCUUGCUCCUGGUGGCGAGUGGCGAACGGGUGAGUAAUACAUCGGAACGUACCCUGAAGUGGGGGAUAACGUAGCGAAAGUUACGCUAAUACCGCAUAUUCUGUGAGCAGGAAAGAGGGGGAUCGCAAGACCUCUUGCUUUAGGAGCGGCCGAUGUCGGAUUAGCUAGUUGGUGAGGUAAAGGCUCACCAAGGCGACGAUCCGUAGCGGGUCUGAGAGGAUGAUCCGCCACACUGGGACUGAGACACGGCCCAGACUCCUACGGGAGGCAGCAGUGGGGAAUUUUGGACAAUGGGCGCAAGCCUGAUCCAGCCAUGCCGCGUGAGUGAAGAAGGCCUUCGGGUUGUAAAGCUCUUUCGGUGGGGAAGAAAUGGCACGGAUUAAUACCCUGUGUUGAUGACGGUACCCGCAUAAGAAGCACCGGCUAACUACGUGCCAGCAGCCGCGGUAAUACGUAGGGUGCGAGCGUUAAUCGGAAUUACUGGGCGUAAAGCGUGCGCAGGCGGUUGUAUAAGUCAGAUGUGAAAUCCCCGGGCUCAACCUGGGAACUGCAUUUGAGACUGUACGGCUAGAGUUUGGCAGAGGGGGGUGGAAUUCCACGUGUAGCAGUGAAAUGCGUAGAGAUGUGGAGGAACACCGAUGGCGAA